rnacentral:piRNA from 1 species
UCCCAAGCAGAAGGCAGAGACUCGGGGGU